AAUAGUAUAUGAGAAAUAAACAAAAUGUAUUUGUAUCGCCGAGCUCCUUUCCUUACGUUAUUGUGCGAAAAACGAUGCAAGCUUUGUCGGCAGUAUUUCUCACUGUAGCGAUACUGAGUGGGACGGUGUAAAAUUGUGGAAUGGGUAUAUGCUUUCUUUCAUUAUAAUGCUUGUUCUAUUGUACGUGCUAUAGCUUUAGGGGAGAGGAAUGAGGUUGUAAUGGAGAUGGAAAAGGGAAGAGGAAUGAAUGGUUGGAAAUGGCUAUAAAAUGUUAGUAGUGGAAAAACACAAAUCAAUCACCUAAAUUUUACAGACAUGUUUGUCGCAGUACUAGAUAUUGUCGAAUUUCCCUUUUUUUUAUUCUUCACUUUCUCUCAUUUUCCACAUACAGGCAGACAAAGAUCAUCGCACAGUUUGAUAAAGGUGCUAAUCUUUCGCUUCCAGCAACACUGCA